rnacentral:lncRNA from 1 species
GGUUUAAAACCCAAUGCUGGCUGAAUGGAAAAAAGUUUAGUUUAGGGUUUAAAACCCUAAUGCUGACUAAAGGGAAAAUUCAGUUCAGGGUUUAAAACCCUAAUGCUGACUGCAUGGAAAAGCUCAGUUUAGGGUUUAAAACCCUAAUGCUGGCUGAAUGGAAAAAGUUUAGUUUAGGGUUUAAAACCCUAAUGCUGACUAAAGGGAAAAUUCAGUUCAGGGUUUAAACCCUAAUGCUGACUGCAUGGAAAAAGUUCAGUUUAGGGUUUUAAAACCCUAAUGCUGACUAAAAGGAAAAAUUCAGUUUAGGGUUUAAAACCCUAAUGCUGACUGCAUGGAAAAGCUCAGUUUAGGGUUUAAAACCCUAAUGCUGGCUGAAUGGAAAAGGUUCAGUUUAGGGUUUAAAACCCUAAUACUGACUAAAGGAAAAAUUCAGUUUAGGGUUUAAAACCCUAAUGCUGACUGCAUGGAAAAGCUCAGUUUAGGGUUUAAAACCCUAAUGCUGGCUGAAUGGAAAAAGUUCAGUUUAGGGUUUAAAACCCUAAUGCUGACUAAAGGGAUAAUUCAGUUCAGGGUUUAAAACCCUAAUGCUGACUGCAUGGAAAAGCU